rnacentral:rRNA from 1 species
UACGGAGGGGGCUAGCGUUGUUCGGAAUUACUGGGCGUAAAGCGCACGUAGGCGGCUUUGUAAGUAAGAGGUGAAAGCCUGGUGCUCAACACCAGAACUGCCUUUUAGACUGCAUUGCUUGAAUCCGAGGAGAGGUGAGUGGAAUUCCGAGUGUAGAGGUGUAAAUUCGUAGGAUAUUCGGAAGAAACACCAGUGGCGAAG